rnacentral:rRNA from 1 species
GAUGAACGCUGGCGGCGUGCCUAACACAUGCAAGUCGAGCGAACAGACGAGGCGCUUGCUCCGCUGACGUUAGCGGCGGGCGGGUGAGUAACACGUGGAUACCCUACCUAUCAGACUGAGAUCACUUCGGGAAAGCGGAGCAAACACCGGAGAAUAUAUUGCACCGCGGGGUUCGAUGGUGAAAGACGGUUUUGCUGUCACUUAUAGAUGGAUCCGGGCCGCAUGAGAUAGUUGGUAAGGUAACGGCUUUCCAAGGCAACGAUGCGUGGCCGACCUGAGUGGGUGAUCGGCGACACUGGAAGGGAGACACGGACCAGACUCCUACGGGAGGCAGCAGUAGGGAAUCUUCCGCAACGGGCGAGAGUCUGACGGAGCAACGCCGAGUGAGUGAUGACGGUCUUCGGUGCGUAAAACCCUGUUAUGGGGGAAGAACAAAUGUGGCCGGAAACAUGGACGUCGUGACGGUACCGAAUCAGAAAGCCACGGCUAACUACGUG